rnacentral:rRNA from 1 species
UACGGGGGGGGCAAGCGUUGUUCGGAAUUACUGGGCGUAAAGGGCUCGUAGGUGGUCAACUAAGUCGGACGUGAAAUCCCUCGGCUUAACCGGGGAACUGCGUCCGAUACUGGAUGACUUGAGUUCGGGAGAGGGAUGCGGAAUUCCAGGUGUAGCGGUGAAAUGCGUAGAUAUCAGGAAGAACACCGAUGGCGAAAGCAGCUCUCUGGGACGGUACUGACGCUGAGGCGCGAAAGCGUGGGGAGCAAACAGG